AGCAAAAGAAGACGAAAUACCGAACCUUUCUGUCUCUAUCUCUGCUUUCCUUUGUUCUUACUCAUUCAUUCCGUUUUGCAACUUACCAACCACUUCCUUGUGACGUGUUUCAUUCAUCUCUCAUGGGACUGAACUCUCUCACCAAGUGAUGUUCACUCACUACUUAUUUGAUGAUUCUAUUCUAUCCCAUUUUUUGAGUUUUAUAUGGCCAAUUCGCAUUCUUAGUGCUACAUGACCAUGAAAAAAAAAACACACCUACUCUAGACACUUUAUUCAAUUUGGCUUGAACUGCAAAUGCCUGGGAUGACCAUGUCCCGUGUUUCAUGCUGUUAUUAAAUAGAUUUUCUUGAUUGAAUAGAACGAUUCUUAUACCACAUCCUUUUUGUGCUGAAAUUAGUAGCAGAUGAUAUUCCCUUGAUUCUUGAACUUAUUAUUGAGAGUGCAACAUAGAAGAGUUCAGUUGAGUUGGUGUGGAACAUGAUGAAUGAAAGGAAAUUGAACAUUGAUGCUCCUCUUAUGUCGGUGAGGCGCUCUUUUGGUACAUCACCUUCCUUAACUGAAGCAAAUAGAAAGAUAUUAGAGAAGCCACAAACACUUCCACACUACAAAUCAGACACCACUUUGGAUCAGGUAACAGAACCUGUUGCAGUGCCUUUCAAUUGGGAGCAUAUCCCUGGAAGGUCAAAGGAUUAUGAUGGAUCAGAACCUCAACUUCCUACAAAGGCUUCAAUUACCCCAACUCUCCCCCCUGGAAAAUCCACAAAUGUAGCCAAACAAUCAUUGGAAAAGGAACCUAAUGUUGCAAAUAACUUUAGGCCCCCAAGCAUAUCAAAUUCUUUAAGUGAGAAAAUAGAUUGCAACAAAGAACAUAAAGAUGAGAAAAUGAAAAAGGUGGAAGAGAAUGAUGACUAUGAUGAUGAUGGUGAUGUUUAUUCUGAUGCACUUGAAACACUGUCACCUACAGAGCCUUUGUCUAUGAACUGUAGUGUGAGUGAUGUGAGUGGCUUAGAUAAUGUGGUUGCGGAUAUGUGUGGAGCCUCUUCUACUGAUAAACAAGCUCAUGAUUUCAUGAUGAGCAGGUUUUUAACUGCAGCAAAGGCUAUGACUAUACAGCCUCCUCAAUAUGCUUCUUCUAGAAAGCAAACUGUUCUGACUGAACAACCUAGGGAAUUUAUCAAAUUGGUUCCUGAACAAAAGAAGUCAUUUGUUAGUAGACAUAUCACUGACAUUGUACCAUAUACUGGUCAAUGUCAAGAAGAGGAAGAAGAAGAGGAGGAAAGUGACAAUGAAACUAAUGAUUAUGCAAAUAAUUCAGCUAAAGGUUGCGGAUUAUUUCCCCGCUUAUGUGUUAGAAAUUCAUUGUGCUUAUUAAAUCCAGUGCCUGGGACGAAAAUGGGGAAUCAGUUUCCCUUGUAUUCUGCCUAUGAGGUUGGAAAACCUGAUAAAAGUUCUCAUAUUCGCUCGCAUAGACCAGCUCCAUCUAUAAAGAAGGCUUGGGAUGCUAUUAAUAAGAGCAAAUCAAGCUCUAGAGCUGCAUCACCAGACAAGCAGGAUGUAAGAAAAAAAUGGACUAGUGAAUCAAGCAGGUAUACCUACUCAGGUGAAUUGAAGAAGCUAGGUAGGCUCUCUCCCUUUCGUCGUUCAAGAGCUGCUUCUGCUGGCGUAUCUCCUUUUCAAAGUAAACCUCAACCUCCCUUUCCUGGAGCAAAGUUGCUUGGUGAUUCCAAACAAGAUGAUAAUAAUCAUUCUGGCAAAUUGAAAUUCCCGAGUAGAGGGCAUUCAAGUAUUCAAGAGGUGCUAUCACAAGGAGCAAAAAGAAGCUAUAGCUUUGGGAGCCUUACUGUUGAAAAGACAUUGUACAUAGAUACUGCAAGUACAAUAAAAUCAUCAUGCUCUAGUUCGCAUUCUUUAGGUAACACAAUAGUGGUAGGAAAAGACAGAACUUUCCUACUAGAUUCUUUUCGAGAUAUGAAGCACCUAGAAGCUUUGGAGGAGAAUUUGGAUUCCCAAGUGUUGAAUCCUGUGGAUGCCAAUUCUCCAACUUUGUCUAGCAUGUUACAUCUCAUGGCCAAAGAAGAUAAAGCUGAAAGAUUGGCAGCUGAUCAAGAAAUUAAUCAAGAGUCCAUGUCCUUGCAACUUGUGCCAAGUUCAUUUGACAAAGAUGCAGAGAUAAGCAAGCAGCAAAUUGUAGUGGUUGAUGAUUCAGGAAAAGUUGGCAAUGAAUAUGUUCUACAUCCUCUGGCCCCACCAUUGCCAAAGUCACCUUCUGAAUCCUGGCUUUGUCGUGCCCUGCCUCUAGUUUCUUCUAAGAAUUCAUUCCCACUUUCAAAUCAAGGUACACAUUCCCAGGCUAAAAGGCAGGGUUUUAGUAGAGCAUCAAGCUAUACUAAGUGGGAAACAAUAGUGAAAUCUUCGAAUUUGAAUCAUGAUCAUGUAACCUGUUCUAAGGAACUAGUCGUGUAUAAAUCUCAGCAUAUGAAAUCAUAGAGAUGGAAUUCGGGAAUGUAUAUCAUGUUAUGGUCCAAGCUUUUUAUGUCCUUUAUUUUUUUUCAGGCUUAUGGGAUUUAGUUCUCCUUCUAUUGGUUUUUGGCAUGACAGCAUAGUAUUUUACAGAGAGGAAUCGAUAUAAUUUUUGGUGAUCAAUAAAAACAAUGAAGCUUCUUUGAACUAGUGGUACUUUCGGUGGACUGAAAAUUACAGAAGCUACCCCCAGAGAAGUGCAUAUGCACUACUAUUGUUUGCCUUUUCACCUUGUUGGUACUUCCUGACAGCUUGCUAAUUAAGGGAAACGAAUCUUCUGUUUCAUCAUAUGCAGCUAAUCUUUAAGUAUCGACAUUUUAUACAUAUGAAUGUAUAUAUAAACGACAUUACUAAUUACUGUUAUUCAUGCAUAAUUUUUUCUUCUUUUAUAUACAUUAUUACAAACAGAAAUUCUUCUUGA